UACGUAGGGGGCGAGCGUUAUUCGGAAUUACUGGGCGUAAAGCGUGCGCAGGCGGUGAUGUAAGACAGAUGUGAAAUCCCCGGGCUCAACCUGGGAACUGCAUUUGUGACUGCAUCGCUGGAGUGCGGCAGAGGGGGAUGGAAUUCCGCGUGUAGCAGUGAAAUGCGUAGAUAUGCGGAGGAACACCGAUGGCGAAGGCAAUCCCCUGGGCCUGCACUGACGCUCAUGCACGAAAGCGUGGGGAGCAAACAGG
rnacentral:rRNA from 1 species